UAGGGAAUCUUCCGCAAUGGACGCAAGUCUGACGGAGCAACGCCGCGUGAGUGAAGAAGGAUUUCGGUUCGUAAAACUCUGUUGUUAGAGAAGAACAGCGCAUAGAGUAACUGUUAUGCGUGUGACGGUAUCUAACCAGAAAGCCACGGCUAACUACGUGCCAGCAGCCGCGGUAAUACGUAGGUCCCGAGCGUUGUCCGGAUUUAUUGGGUGUAAAGCGAGCGCAGGCGGUUAGAAAAGUCUGAAGUGAAAGGCAGUGGCUCAACCAUUGUAGGCUUUGGAAACUGUUUAACUUGAGUGCAGAAGGGGAGCGUGGAAUUCCAUGUAUAGCGGUGAAAUGCGUAGAUAUAUGGAGGAACACCGGUGGCGAAAGCGGCUCUCUGUUCUGUAACUGACGCUGAGGCUCGAAAGCGUGGGUAGCAAACAGG
rnacentral:rRNA from 1 species